GACAGAGGUCCCGAGCGUUAGGCGGAAUCACUGGGCUUAAAGCGUGUGUAGGCGGACUUCUAAGUACCUUGUGAAAUCCCACGGCUUAACCGUGGAACGGCUGGGUAUACUGGUUGUCUUGGGCCACUUAGGGGCUACUGGAACAAACGGUGGAGCGGUGAAAUGCGUAGAUAUCGUUUGGAACGCCAAUGGUGAAAACAAGUAGCUGGGGAGUGUGCCGACGCUGAGACACGAAAGCCAGGGGAGCAAACGGGA
rnacentral:rRNA from 1 species